UGCAGSGACGCCGCSUGCGGGAYGRCGGCCUUCGGGUUGUAAACCGCUUUUGACUGGGAGCAAGCCMUUCGGGGUGAGUGUACCUUUCGAAUAAGCACCGGCUAACUACGUGCCAGCAGCCGCGGUAAUACGUAGGGUGCAAGCGUUAUCCGGAAUUAUUGGGCGUAAAGGGCUCGUAGGCGGUUCGUCGCGUCCGGUGUGAAAGUCCAUCGCUUAACGGUGGAUCCGCGCCGGGUACGG
rnacentral:rRNA from 1 species